GUGCUCGCUUCGGCAGCACAUAUACUAAAAUUGGAACGAUACAGAGAAGAUUAGCAUGGCCCCUGCGCUAAAAAAAAAAAAAAAAAAAAAAAAGAAUGAAGGGGAAAUCAUU
rnacentral:snRNA from 1 species